rfam:Scleropages formosus scaffold569, whole genome shotgun sequence.
GCUGCGAUGGCCGAGUGGUUAAGGUGUUGGACUUGAAAUCCAAUGGGGUCUCCCCGCGCAGGUUCAAGCCCUGCUCGCAGCG